rnacentral:rRNA from 1 species
CRCAGAGGGKGAGAAUCCCGUACGUGGCCGGGUCGUCUCUCCCAGGUGAGGCCCCUUCGACGAGUCRAGUUGUUUGGGAAUGCABCUCURARUGGGUGGUAAAUUCCAUCUAAAGCUAAAUACCGGCCGGAGACCGAUAGBGSACAAGUAGAGUGAUCGAAAGAUGAAAAGCACUUUGGAAAGAGAGUCAAACAGUACGUGAAAUUGUUGAAAGGGAAGCGCUUGCCACCAGACKUGYCCGCGGGCCAUCAGCCGUCCUUCGGGGCGGUGCAMUGACCCGCGGUCAGGCCAGCAUCGGUUUCGGCGGUCGGACAAAGGAUCCGGGAACGKAGCUCCCCCCGGGGAGUGUUAUAGCCCGGGUCGUCRUGCGGMCCGCCGGGACCGAGGACCGCGCUUCGGCUAGGAUGCUGGCGUAAUGGUGGCCAGCGACCCGUCUUGAAACACGGACCAAGGAGUCAACCAUCGGUGCGAGUGUUUGGGCGUCGAAACCCACGCGCGGAAUGAAAGUGAACGGAGGUGGGAAACCCCYAUCGGGGGCGCACCAUCGACCGGUCCCGAUGUCUUCGGAGGGAUCUGAGUAGGAGCAUCGCUGGUUGGACCCGAAAGAUGGUGAACUAUGCCUGAAUAGGGUGAAGCCAGAGGAAACUCUGGUGGAGGCUCGCAGCGGUUCUGACGUGCAAAUCGAUCGUCAAAUUUGGGCAUAGGGGCGAAAGACUAAUCGAACCAUCUGGGACCCCACUGCUAGAUGA